rnacentral:rRNA from 6 species
GACCUGAGCUCAGGCAAGAUU